GACGAACGCUGGCGGCGUGCCUAAUACAUGCAAGUAGAACGCUGAAGGAGGAGCUUGCUUCUCUGGAUGAGUUGCGAACGGGUGAGUAACGCGUAGGUAACCUGCCUGGUAGCGGGGGAUAACUAUUGGAAACGAUAGCUAAUACCGCAUAAUAGUAGAUGUUGCAUGACAUUUGCUUAAAAGGUGCAAUUGCAUCACUACCAGAAGGACCUGCGUUGUAUUAGCUAGUUGGUGGGGUAACGGCUCACCAAGGCGACGAUACAUAGCCGACCUGAGAGGGGGAUCGGCCACACUGGGACUGAGACACGGCCCAGACUCCUACGGGAGGCAGCAGUAGGGAAUCUUCGGCAAUGGACGGAAGUCUGACCGAGCAACGCCGCGUGAGUGAAGAAGGUUUUCGGAUCGUAAAGCUCUGUUGUAAGAGAAGAACGAGUGUGAGAGUGGAAAGUUCACACUGUGACGGUAUCUUACCAGAAAGGGACGGCUAACUACGUG
rnacentral:rRNA from 1 species